rnacentral:tRNA from 1 species
UGCCUUGUAGUAUAAUGGUUAUUACGGCAGACUCUAAAUCUGUAGCCUUCUGAGGGCGUCAAUCUGGGUUCAAAUCCUAGCAAGGCAA